rnacentral:rRNA from 1 species
CCGGUUGGAGCGUACCGGACUAUGGGCGUAAGCGUGCGCAGGCGGUUUUGUAAGACAGACGUGAAAUCCCCGGGCUUAACCUGGGAACUGCGUUUUGUGACUGCAAGGCUAGAGUGUAGCAGAGGGGGGUAGAAUUCCACGUGUAGCAGUGAAAUGCGUAGAUAUGUGGAGGAAUACCGAUGGCGAAGGCAGCCCCCUGGGCUAACACUGACGCUCAUGCACGAAAGCGUGGGGAGCAAACAGGAUUAGAUACCCUGGUAGUCCACGCCCUAAACCGAUGUCAACUAGUGUGUUUGGGGGAGGAGACUUCCUUAGUACCGCAGCUAACGCGUGAAGUUUGAGCGCCUGGGGGAGUACGGUCGCAAGAUUAAAACUCAAAGGAAUUGACUGGGGACCCGCACAAGCGGUGGAUUAUGUGGAUUAAUUCGAUGCAACGCGAAAAACCUUACCUACCCUUGACAUGCCAGGAAGAUCGCAGAGAUGUGAUUGUGCCCGAAAGGGAACCUGGACACAGGUGCUGCAUGGCUGUCGUCAGCUCGUGUCGUGAGAUGUUGGGUUAAGUCCCGCAACGAGCGCAACCCUUGUCAUUAAUUGCCAUCAUUCAGUUGGGCACUUUAAUGAGACUGCCGGUGAUAAACCGGAGGAAGGUGGGGAUGACGUCAAGUCCUCAUGGCCCUUAUGGGUAGGGCUUCACACGUAAUACAAUGGUCGGUACAGAGGGUUGCCAACCCGCGAGGGGGAGCCAAUCCCAGAAAGCCGAUCGUAGUCCGGAUUGUAGUCGAGCAACUCGACUACAUGAAGUCGGAAUCGCUAGUAAUACGCGGAUCAGCAUGUCGCGGUGAAUACGUUCCCGGGUCUUGUACACACCGCCCGUCACACCAUGGGAGUGGAAUCUGCCAGAAGUAGGUAGCCUAACCGCAGGGGGGCGCUACCCGGUGGUUUCAUAAUGGG